GCGCCGAAAAUGUACCGGGGCUAAACAUAUUACCGAAGCUGUGGAUUGUCCUUUGGACAAUGGUAGGAGAGCGUUCUAAGGGCGUUGAAGCAUGAUCGUAAGGACAUGUGGAGCGCUUAGAAGUGAGAAUGCCGGUGUGAGUAGCGAAAGACGGGUGAGAAUCCCGUCCACCGAUUGACUAAGGUUUCCAGAGGAAGGCUCGUCCGCUCUGGGUUAGUCGGGUCCUAAGCUGAGGCCGACAGGCGUAGGCGAUGGAUAACAGGUUGAUAUUCCUGUACCACCUAUAAUCGUUUUAAUCGAUGGGGGGACGCAGUAGGAUAGGCGAAGCGUGCGAUUGGAUUGCACGUCUAAGCAGUAAGGCUGAGUAUUAGGCAAGUCCGGUACUCGUUAAGGCUGAGCUGUGAUGGGGAGAAGACAUUGUGUCUUCGAGUCGUUGAUUUCACACUGCCGAGAAAAGCCUCUAGAUAGAAAAUAG
rnacentral:rRNA from 1 species